rnacentral:rRNA from 1 species
CAUGCAUGUCUAAGUAUAAGCAAUUAUACCGCGAAACUGCGAAUGGCUCAUUAAAUCAGUUAUCGUUUAUUUGAUAGUACCUUACUACUUGGAUAACCGUGGUAAUUCUAGAGCUAAUACAUGCUUAAAACCCCGACUCACGGAGGGGUGUAUUUAUUAGAUUAAAAACCAAUGCCCUUCGGGGCUUUUUGGUGAUUCAUAAUAACUUCUCGAAUCGCAUGGCCUUGUGCCGGCGAUGGUUCAUUCAAAUUUCUGCCCUAUCAACUUUCGAUGGCAGGGUCUUGGCCUGCCAUGGUUACAACGGGUAACGGAGGGUUAGGGCUCGACCCCGGAGAAGGAGCCUGAGAAACGGCUACUACAUCCAAGGAAGGCAGCAGGCGCGCAAAUUACCCAAUCCCGAUACGGGGAGGUAGUGACAAUAAAUACUGAUACAGGGCUCUUUUGGGUCUUGUAAUUGGAAUGAGUACAAUUUAAAUCCCUUAACGAGGAACAAUUGGAGGGCAAGUCUGGUGCCAGCAGCCGCGGUAAUUCCAGCUCCAAUAGCGUAUAUUAAAGUUGUUGCAGUUAAAAAGCUCGUAGUUGAACCUUGGGCCUGGCUGGCCGGUCCGCCUCACCGCGUGCACUGGUUCGGCCGGGCCUUUCCCUCUGGGGAAUCCCAUGCCCUUCACUGGGUGUGGCGAGGAACCAGGACUUUUACUGUGAAAAAAUUAGAGUGUUCAAAGCAGGCCUAUGCUCGAAUACAUUAGCAUGGAAUAAUAGAAUAGGACGUGUGGUUCUAUUUUGUUGGUUUCUAGGACCGCCGUAAUGAUUAAUAGGGACAGUCGGGGGCAUCAGUAUUCAAUUGUCAGAGGUGAAAUUCUUGGAUUUAUUGAAGACUAACUACUGCGAAAGCAUUUGCCAAGGAUGUUUUCAUUAAUCAGGAACGAAAGUUAGGGGAUCGAAGACGAUCAGAUACCGUCGUAGUCUUAACCAUAAACUAUGCCGACUAGGGAUCGGACGAUGUUAUUUUUUGACUCGUUCGGCACCUUACGAGAAAUCAAAGUUUUUGGGUUCUGGGGGGGAGUAUG